rnacentral:rRNA from 1 species
GACGAACGCUGGCGGCGUGCUUAACACAUGCAAGUCGAACGGAAAGGCCCUGCUUUUGUGGGGUGCUCGAGUGGCGAACGGGUGAGUAACACGUGAGUAACCUGCCCUUGACUUUGGGAUAACUUCAGGAAACUGGGGCUAAUACCGGAUAGGAGCUCCUGCUGCAUGGUGGGGGUUGGAAAGUUUCGGCGGUUGGGGAUGGACUCGCGGCUUAUCAGCUUGUUGGUGGGGUAGUGGCUUACCAAGGCUUUGACGGGUAGCCGGCCUGAGAGGGUGACCGGCCACAAUGGGACUGAGAUACGGCCCAGGCUCCUACGGGAGGCAGCAGUGGGGAAUAUUGCACAAUGGGCGGAAGCCUGAUGCAGCAACGCCGCGUGCGGGAUGAUGGCCUUCGGGUUGUAAACCGCUUUCGCCUGUGACGAAGCGUGAGUGACGGUAAUGGGUAAAGAAGCACCGGCUAACUACGUG